rnacentral:rRNA from 1 species
UACAGAGGUCCCAAGCGUUGUCCGGAUUUAUUGGGCGUAAAGAGCGUGUAGGCGGCCAGGUAGGUCUGCUGUGAAAACUCGAGGCUUAACCUCGAGCUGUCGGCGGAAACCAUCUGGCUAGAGUCCGGAAGAGGAGAGUGGAAUUCCUGGUGUAGCGGUGAAAUGCGCAGAUAUCAGGAAGAACACCAAUGGCGAAGGCAGCUCUCUGGGACGGUACUGACGCUGAGACGCGAAAGCGUGGGGAGCGAACAGG